CAAAGCUCAAAUAAGAGGGGCUGGCGGCGGGGGAGGAGGAGGAGCCAGAAGCCUCGGCCGCUCCAUUCACACCGCUGCCUAAGCCGGGCCAGGCAGUGCGCGCGGCUCGGUGGGGGCGCCCUCGCCGCGGGGGUGGGGGGCGGGCCUGAGAGAGCGUUACCUCUGGGAGACACCCUCCUCUCCUACCAGCCACGCGCUCUCAGCCCGCCUACGGGACGCAGCCCUACCCCCACCUCCCCUUCUCGGCCUUUGCAAGUGUGGGCGCCUCGGGGCACUGGCGAGUCUCUCCAGGUCUCUUUUAGGUUGGUUAGUUUAGUGAACUGCCUCCAGCCUGGACUGCUGACCCGUGACCUCCCAUUACUCAAACCCAGGCUGACAUAUGUGGGCUUCGUUCCCUCACUUCUCAGUGUCUCCUCCUGAAAUCAAGACGCUUCUUCGGGGCUAGCAAUGUGCUUCUGUCCUGUGAUGCUGAGUAAGGCAGUGAGCCACAGCUCCCAGUCAGCCAUGCAAUCACAAAGGUUCCAGCUUAAAUGUCACCUCUUCAGUGGAGUUCUUCUUUGACUGCCUCACAUAAUAGUAGUAAAACGUUCUCAGAUGGAUUAGGGUGCUGGUUACACAGCUCAGUGAACAUACCAAAACCCAUUGAACUGGCCACUGUGAAUCGGCGAGAUGUAAGGCUGCGAGGGGAGGCCUGCACAGACUGUGUACAGAUCCUUUAUUUGAGGCAAAAUCAAGUUGUUCAAACAUAGAACUGCUCA